GACGUCGAUAAAGAAGUGAAUCAAAAACUCAGUGGUGAACUUUCCGGCAGCAGACAGACGAGAUGGAGAGCGCAGUGGGUUGGAAUUAAAGGGCGUGAAAUACUUAAAGUAAAAAGUGGCCUCAGAGGUUUGUGUGCUGCUCAGUGCUCCUCGUCCUGCUGCAGUCUGAAAACUGGCCCACAAAGUUCUGCACGUGUCAGAA